AUUCAAGACUUCAACUCCACGAUCUUCAUUACACCACCUCUCGAUUUUGAUUUUUGACUACUGGGUUCAUUAAAUCUCGAUUUGGCUGUUCUGCUUAGCAAUACCGAUGUGCAUGUGCUGCUCCUUCACUGAAGAAAAUCGUUGAGAUCCGGUCUGACAAGCGUUACUUGGUCCUAUCAACACUGAUGCCACCACAAGUGCUGCUGACAUGGAUUAGAAGAUCAAGAUUCAAGACUACUGCAGCACUAGAUGCACUGCUAGUUGUUCUUUUUUCCGAUUUUCUCAUUUUCAAGACUUAGUAUGUGUGUCUGUGGCUACUGCCUACUGCUACUUGUUCUUUUUUCGGAUUUUCAAGACUUUAGUGUGUGUGUUUGUCAGUUUGUGUGCUACUGCCUACUGCUACUUCUUUUUUCAGAUUUUCAAGACUUUGUUUGUUUGAUUUGCUAGUAAUAUUGCUACUUAUUAGUUGGUGCUU